UACGUAGGGGGCUAGCGUUGUCCGGAAUCAUUGGGCGUAAAGCGCGCGUAGGCGGCCCGGUAAGUCCGCUGUGAAAGUCAAAGGCUCAACCGUUGAAUGUCAGCGGAUACUGCCGGGCUAGAGUCAGGAAGAGGCGAGUGGAACUCCUGGUGUAGCGGUGGAAUGCGCAGAUAUCAGGAAGAACACCAACGGCGAAGGCAGCUCGCUGGGACGGAACUGACGCUGAGGCGCGAAAGCGUGGGGAGCGAACAGG
rnacentral:rRNA from 1 species